GUUAGUUUUAGACAACUGACAUAGAAAAUGUCAGGCAAACGGGUUCUCAUUCGAAUGCUCAAACGAAUGAGAUAUAGCCAACUAUUAUAAUUGUCGGUUGAUAUAUAACACAUUAUUUUGCUAAGUUACUAGCAAACGUAACUUCUCUAUAAUUAUAGCUACUGAAUUAUUGCAGCCAGUAGGAGUAUCACUGACGCAAUGCACAACAAUGCUGACGCAAAACCAUGCUGCAAGUGAGAGGAAGAGGACGCGCUAUCUCUGCCAUCAUUAGGCUAGCUGGCUAGCUAGCUAGUCACGUAUUUCACGUCAUUCUCUCUUACCUCAAAAUGAAUAUUGCCGAGCAUCGUUUUCUCAUUGCCUGGAGCUGAUGAACCACAGAGAUGUCAGAUCACAGUGAUGUGUGUCCUCACCUGGACUGCAUAGGGGAGGUAACUAAGGAGGAACUUUUGCAGAAGUCAAAGGGGACAUGCCAGUCCUGUGGUGCAGGAGGCCCUAACCUUUGGGCUUGUCUACAGAAUGAUUGUCCCUAUGUUGGUUGUGGGGAGUCCUACUCGGAUCACAGCACUUUGCAUGCACAGGCUAAAAAGCACAACCUGACGGUCAACCUUACCACAUUCAGGAUCUGGUGCUAUAUCUGUGAGAGGGAAGUGUUCCUGGAACACAGGCCAGUUGUGCCUGUGUCUGGUAACCACCACUGCAAGUCGCUGGAGCAGGAGCCCGCUCCUCAAACAGCAAGUCACCCUCUGAAGGCUGUACCAAUCGCAGUGGCCGAUGAAGAGGAGUCUGAGUCAGAGGAUGAUGAGCUGAAACCGCGAGGACUCACUGGGAUGAAAAACAUUGGCAAUUCCUGCUACAUGAAUGCUGCUCUCCAAGCUCUAUCUAACUGCCCCCCACUGACUCAGUUCUUCCUGGACUGUGGUGGAUUGGUCCGAACUGACAAGAAGCCAGCACUGUGUAAAAGCUACCAGAAGCUCAUCUCUGAGCUCUGGCACAAGAAACGGCCCAGUUAUGUGGUCCCCACAAGCCUGUCCCACGGCAUCAAGCUGGUUAACCCCAUGUUCAGAGGCUACGCCCAACAGGACACUCAGGAGUUCCUUCGCUGUCUAAUGGACCAGCUCCACGAGGAGCUGAAAGAGCCGCUGGCCGAGAGCGGGGGGUGCGAGCGGGGCGAGGGGGACGAGCGGCGGGACGGGGACUGCAGCCCCUCCGAGGACGAGUUCCUGUCCUGCGACUCGGGCUCCAGCAGCGACCGGGGCGAGGGCUGCGAGGGGCGGGGCCCGGGCGAGGCCGAGCUCCUCAUACAGGACGAGUGCGGCGGCCGGGGCGGGGGCAUCUCGGAGAAGGAGCGGCUGAAGGAGAGGAGGGUCUCGGGCUCCCCCCUCCACGGAGGCUCCCAGGAGAUGGACGAGGAUGCCGAUGUGGACACGGCGGCAGAGGAGGGGGGCCCCGCUCGGGGGGCGGAGGACGAGGGCGUGGCCUCAAACAGCCCACACAACCAGAGCCAAAGCCGCAGUGCUCCAGAGCCUGACAACGAGGCGUCAAUGCACUGCAACUCCUCUCGGCCAUGCAGUCCCACGCACAGCCUGCAGGAGCUGCACCCCAAGCUGUCCAGCAGCCCUCCACGCUCCAGCCCCCUGAGGUCCGUAGGGGUGGCCUACUCCCUCAAGAAAGCCCAUCUUCUGCUGGGUGCCAAAAAGAAGAAGCAGGCGCGCUACCGCAGCGUGAUCUCGGACAUAUUCGACGGCUCCAUCCUGAGCCUGGUGCAGUGUCUGACCUGUGACAGGGUGUCCACCACCGUGGAGACGUUCCAGGACCUGUCCCUGCCCAUCCCCGGGAAAGAGGACCUGGCUAAGUUACACUCCUCCAUCCACCAGAACCUUCCGGCAAAGACCGGCUCCUGCCCCGACAGCUACGCCUCGCAGGGCUGGAUCUCCUACAUCAUGGACUCCAUCCGCAGGUUUGUGGUGUCCUGCAUCCCCAGCUGGUUUUGGGGCCCCAUGGUCACACUGGAAGACUGCCUGGCUGCCUUCUUUGCUGCGGAUGAGCUGAAAGGUGACAACAUGUACAGCUGUGAAAGAUGUAAAAAAUUGAGAAAUGGUGUUAAAUAUUGUAAGGUUCUUCGCCUUCCAGAAAUUUUGUGUAUUCACCUGAAACGAUUUCGACAUGAGGUGAUGUACUCCUUCAAAAUCAAUAGCCAUGUGUCAUUUCCUUUGGAGGGACUUGACCUCCGACCUUUUCUGGCCAAGGAAAGCCCCUCCCAGAUCACAACCUAUGACCUCCUCUCUGUGAUCUGUCACCAUGGUACUGCUGGAAAAUUCCAAACAGGCGGACAUUACAUUGCCUACUGCCAGAAUGUUAUCAAUGGGCAGUGGUAUGAGUUUGAUGACCAGUACGUCACAGAGGUGCACGAGACCGUGGUGCAGAACUCUGAGGCUUAUGUGCUCUUCUACAGGAAGAGCAGUGAGGAGUCGGUGAGGGAGAGGCAGAAAGUGGUGGCCCUGGCCAACCUCAAGGAGCCCAGCCUCCUGCAGUUCUACAUCUCCCGCGAGUGGCUGAACAAGUUCAACACUUUCACCGAACCCGGCCCCAUCACCAACCAUACCUUCCUGUGUCAGCAUGGAGGAAUUCCUCCAAACAAGUACCAUUACAUCGAUGACCUGGUGGUGAUCCUGCCCCAGAAUGUUUGGGAAUACCUCUAUAACAGGUCAGCCCUCAUCACCGUGGUGUCAUUGCUGUCUCUCAGCUUUGGAGGAGGGCCUGCUGUGAACCACCUAUACGUGUGCGCCAUUUGCCAGGUGGAAAUCGAAGCUCUGGCCAAGCGCAGGAAGGUGGAGAUCGACACCUUCAUUAAGCUGAAUAAAGAGUUCCAGGCAGAGGAAGCUCCCACAGUCAUCCUGUGCAUCAGCAUGCAGUGGUUCCGGGAGUGGGAGAGCUUCGUCAAGGGGAAGGACAAUGAGCCUCCAGGGCCAAUAGACAACAGCAAAAUUGGAGUAAUGAAAGGUGGUCAUAUACAACUCAAGCAAGGGGCAGACUAUGGGCAGAUAUCGGAGGAGACCUGGCAGUACCUGCUCAGCAUUUACGGCGGGGGCCCGGAGAUCGCGGUGCGGCAGACGGUGGUGCCGGCCGACACCGACAGCCUCCACGGGGAGCGUAAGAUAGAGGCGGAGACCAGGGCCCUCUGAGCCCCCGGCUGCUCUGUGCUGGGAUAAACGCAUUGCAAGGCAGAUGUGCAGAAAAAGGGAGAGGGAACAGAGAACUAGACUCUGCUGGAUGGAGACUGUGUACCUUAUCCUACCAUAAGCAUGUUUUUCAAUGUGCUAUAUCAUAGGUAAGUACAUAUUUUGUGUUUUUUGUGAAUGUUGGUCAAAGUGAAUUGAUUGCAUCACUGUAUCCUGUACAGAAUGCAGGUGCAUAACGUUGGCUAGUGGAUUGAAAUUGUAUGAAAACAUUGGCAUGUGCUAUUUGCUUGUCUGCGUGUGUGGACAGAUAUUUUUGAGGGAAAAAAAUGCUUAGUCAUAUUUCUUCCUCUCACAGCCAAAUUUAUAUUUUACUUGGGGAGAUGUUCUUUUUGCAUUUUCAGCUGUGUUUGCAUCGUACCACGCAGACAUUUGCAAUGCAAGUAGAUGGGCAAAUAUUUGGGGAGAUAUUUUGUCAUCAUUGGUUUUUUGCAGUUUCAGCUGUGUUUGCAUUGUACCAUGCAGACAUGUUUGCAAUCCAAGUAGAUUAAAUUACAUUAUAUUACAGGCAUUUAGCAGAUUUACCCAGAGUGACUUACACAACUUUUACAUAGCAUUUACAUUGCAUCCAUUUAUAUAGCUGGAUAUAUGCUGAAGCAAUGCAAGUUAAGUACCUUGGUCAAGGGUACAACAGCAGUGCCCCACCCGGGAAUUGAACCUAGUCUAGUUAACAUUGAAACUUGCCUCCUAGAAAAUUAAAAAACCUUGUAUCCAUUAUCUACAUCUCAACAUGGUCACAAUCACAGUCACUGCAGCGGACGACAUCAUCAUCUGAAACAGCUCAUCGUGUGCAUUGUGUUCUGGUGUAUGCACUGUGAAGGCUCUUAAUAAAGUGGUAUAUCACCAUUGUCACUGCCAUUUAAUAUAUAAAUUCAGUGCUUAGAACAGUUACAGUAUGUUGCCUGGUUAUUCAUUAGUCUUAAUGAUCCUGUCUUCAAAUGUUAAUUUCAGCCUCCCUUGUUCUUUUUAAGAGGCUGAAAACAUAAAAAAAAAUUGAUUAGCAACUUCUGGAAAUGAAGUAAUCAGUUUUACGUAACUAAAGCUCCUCAAUUUAAAAAAACUGACAUCUUCUGCAUGGAUGUGCCCUCUCAAGAAACCUCACAGCAACAUAUAAGACUGAAGUAUGUGUCCCUCGCAUCCCUGUUGAAUAUGGAUUGAUAUUCAGUUACUUGUCAGCCGUGCUCUCUAUCUGGACUAGGCUAAUUAAGGAAUGAAUAAAAUCAGGACAUUUAUAUGUUAUUGACUAAUUAUUGUGUUUCUUUUUUAUUGUAUGUUCCACACAGGAUUUCCAAUGUUUUUGUGUUGCAGUGCUUGUCUCGCCAGCUCUGAAUGUGCUCCUGUUUCAGGUCUUGUGAAAUAUAAUCCUCUAAAAGACACUACUGUAACUAACACUACUGUUUCAAAGUGUUCCUCUCAUGUUCACUGUUGGUCAGACUUAAAGAGAGAGGUGAACUUGACAGGUGCUGGUCAUAAUACUCUCAAAUUCUCAGAAGACAUUUUUGGCAUAAUGGAACCAGGUUUGAAGCCAAAUCCCUUGUAUACCGUCCUAUUUGUAAAAGCCUGAGAAACCACCUUUCAGUGAUUUUUCUGUGCCAACUACAAGGUCACAAAAAUUAACAGGAAUCUCAAUUUUACCAACACAAGGAGGAGGACAUUUAGUGUAAUGAACUGUGACAAUUCUACAUAAGAACAGGGGUAAAUAUUUACACCCUGGUGCCAAUUUUAAUUCUAAAUCAGCAAUCAUGUCUGCUCCCAGACCCAACGACAUCCAUACCCUCCACCUUGGAUUGGCUUUCAGGCCUUUUUGCAUCAGAAACAGCCCUCUGCAUUAGAUUAUUUUAAAUGUUUCAUGGUGUUUAUUUCAGAUGAAUCUUCAUUUUCGUCUCUUAGCGAAUAUCCUUUCUUUCUCCACUCUAUUCUGUGUCCAUUACUGUGGUACAGAUUAAUACUUGUCUCAUCUGUCCAUGAAAGUUUGUUCCAUAAUGUUAGUUUUUUUAAUGUACUUAUUUCCAAAUGCUAACCUGACCAUUUUUUGAGGCUUACCAGUGGUUUGCAUCUUGUGGUGAACCCUGGUGUGUGUAGUCUUAUCUUUAUUUUGGUCGUUUACACUUAUAUGCCUACAUCCUGGAGAGUGUCUGACAGUUGAAAAUGGGUUUUUUCUUAGCAUUGAGAUUAUUCAAAUAAAAAUAUUCUUCAGUCAUCUAUUGCUAAGCUCACCACUGCAUUAUUGCCUCUUAACAAUAUUCUGUACCAUAUAUAUGUAUAAAAAGUACCAACGUGGUUCACAUGGUUUAUGUAAAUACCCGCAAAUUAAAGCUGACAAUCUGCACUUGAACUUCAUAUUCAUUUAAAAUUCAAUGUACUGGAGUACACAGCCAAACUUUGUCACUGUCCAAAUCCAAUGGACUGCAGUACAUUUAGAAUGAAGUGUCCACCAUGCAGAUGCUGCUGUCACAGCGUAAUGCUCACAUUCUGUGCCGUAUGCAAGUAGAGUGCGUGCUCAGCAGAACACUGUCGAUGUGAAACUAUGGCUAACUCAACGUGUAGUGUAAACAUCUCACAGUUUAAGACUCUGCCUAUGAAUCUGGGUGGUGAAGCGUUUCUGAAGAAGAAGUGUUCUCAUGACUUCAUACAUUCCGGACACACAGCCAAGCCAAGAAGUUGGGGAGUUGGGGGAAUUCUUUCUAAAUUAUCCGAGGGCAGGAAAAUGACCUCGGCUUUACAAGCUAGUCAAAGCUUUUCAUUAGGUUAUUAUUUUAUUGUCUUGCUUGGAUGGGUACCUUAUAAUAAUCAAAAUGAUUUCAUGCAACUUCAUUCAUAAUGAGAAUGAUUGAAUGUGUUCAGGAAGCUAUCACAUAUUUAAUUAUGCUCUCACAUUUUUAAAGUUUAAAGGAAUUCAACAGCCAGGUUCACUGGUCGUUAAUGCUGUAGGUGCAUCCUGUUAUGUGUGUUUUAGUGUUGUCCUGAUUGUGUGUUAUUGAUGGUAACGUAAUUGGUAGGGUUGGUCUUGUAACCUAAAGGUCACAGGUUCGAUUUCCUCAUAGGACACUGACGCUAUACCCAGGAGCAAGGUACUUAACCAGCAUUGCUUCAGUAUAUAUCCAGUUGUAUCAUUGGAUACAAUUUAAAUGCUAUGUAAAAAGUUGAGUAAUUCGGUCUGGAUGAGAGGCUCUGCUAAAUGCCUGUAAUGUAUUAAUGUACUAGUACCUAGGAAGGAAAGGUUUUGGACAACAAGGUUUUCUUUACUUCUUUGCACAUUAGCAACUGCUCUGCUCUGUUGGACACCUGUGGUCUGCCUGUCCUAGCUCAACAUCUUUCACUGCAUCAUCAAACCAAAGGGAACUUACACGAUGAAUUUACAACAUGAAUGAAUCUUGGUUCUCCAUCUGAAAAACUCUUUGACAGUUUACUAUGAAGUGUACAAACAGUUAGCAUUGACUAUGUAGUAUAGACUGCAGGUGCAAACCAUUUUAAUGAUCAUCUAAAAGUAAUGAAUAAAGUGUUGUAGAGACACUUCUGUGUUUAGUUUUUAGUCAAGUUCUCAUGUUAAUAAGACACACUAAUACUGCAUUAAGCUGAUUUACUGUUAAGCUGAACCAGCUUUUAUUUCUGUUGCAUUAACUGUAUAAACUGCAGUUGCAUUCCUACAUUAUGUGGCCAAGAGUAACGAGAAAUCAUGGGGUUUAAUGCACCUCCCAGCUUGUGGUAGAAUUGCAGUGGAUAUGGCAUUUUGUUUCUCUGUGUUGUAAAUUAUUCAUACAUGUCAAUUUUAUUAUGGUGUAACUUUGCCCCUAUGUUCCAAACAGUGCUUGCCUAUAUGCGGGUCACAAAAAAAGUCAAAUUUGAAACAUGACUCUUAAGAAUAAAUGGAAAUGCACAAAUCUGUCUUGCUGUGUGGUCUCAUUGAAUUUGAUAGUUGUAUUGCUUAAUCUGUUUUUCAUUCAUAUUUUUUUCUUUUUCCUGGAAUUCUACACGUUCAGUGUUUUUCCUGGUAAUCAAACCCAAAAUUCUGAAUUCAGAAAUGUGAUGCAAUAAGCAGUAUGCUGCAGUGCUGUUCCAGCUUGCUGAACAUGCCACCUCCAAUAAUGAACUGACUGAAGAUCUGGGCACAGUGCCAAAAUGUUAACACAGUCUAGUUCAUAGCAGCUUGACAAGUGAUGCGUAUAUGAUAUUCCUGACUACAGUAGCCAUAGUAAACAUUGUGAAGGCCAAGUCAUAAAAUUCACGUCUAUUUAAGGAGAAUAGUAUUUUGCUUUGUCUUUCAUAUUUGUUCAUUUGGCUCUGGUUUUCUCUUGUUGUUAAUGUCUGUCAGGUUUUGUGUGCUUUACAGUGUUUCCCUGCCCUCAAUAACAUUCACUCAAAUUUCAGUGCUUUGGUGCAUAUGGAAAGGUAAUUGAACUGGAUCGCCAAUUUUCGAUUUUAUCUGAGAAAGCGCUUUGUAAUGUGAAGAACCUCCCAGCUGUGCUUGAAUACUGUAAAUAAAAAAAUAAUCACCCACCCAGAGGGCAAGGCUAUAUGGAAUUUAUUUUUGAAGGAGUCACAGCCAAUCAUAAAAAAAAUGAUUUUAAUUUGGCUGGAAAUGCAAAAGGUAUGAUAUGCUCCUGCCCCCCGGAUAUGAGAUGGGACCCUGCUGUACAGGUAUAGAGAAAACCCUAGGAUGCAAGACCACACCUGUCUGGUCACGCCCUGUGGAAAGGGAAGGUUUGUGCAGGAAUGUUUUUCAAACCACAAGCUCUGGCAGACAAUAUUUAAAACAGAUAUUCACAACAUCUUACAGUUACAGAUUCAGAUUAUGGAACCAAGAGGAUCAAUGAAUGUGAUGACUACAACCAGUUAAACCUUGAAUCAGUUUUUUCUUUUGGAACAAAAUAACUUUGUUAGCAGGCUGGAAAACAUAUGACAGAUGUGUUUGGAGUUCAGAGCAUUUAAUACAGCCACAAGUACAGAUACGUAAAGUUCAAAAUUAGCAUAUAUUUAUAUAUAUUGAAAAAUUCUGGAAUUUGACUAUGGAAGGGAAUUGAACUGGAAGGAUUAAUAGCAGGCUGUUCAAUGAGCAUCAUAGUGUCUUGUAGCAUGGGCAGCUAGCCUGCACCCGUUUCCCUAAUGCAUAGUGUGUGUGUGAGCGAGAAAUAGCAUGAGUGAGCAGUGAUGAUGUCAUCCUGACUGAAGCCCUCUCUCCCAGGCAUUGCAAGGCAGAUGUGCAGAAAAAGGGAGAGGGAACAGAGAACUAGACUCUGCUGGAUGGAGACUGUGUACCUUAUCCUACCAUAAGCAUGUUUUUCAAUGUGCUAUAUCAUAGACUGAAAGAGAGAAGUGAACCUGACAGGUUCUGGUCAUAAUACUCCCAAAUCCUCAGAAGACAUUUUUGGCAUAAUGGAACCAGGUUUGAAGCCAAACCCUUUGUACACCAUCCUAUUUAUAAAAGCCUGAGAAACCACCUUUCAGUGAUUUUUCUGUGCCGACUGCAAGGUUACAAAUGGAACUUGGGUCUUUGUUACAGAGAUUAGCAGGAAUCUCAAUUUUACUACACAAGGAGGAGGACAUUUAGUGUAAUAAACUGUGACAAUUCUUCUACAUAAGAACAGGGGUAUGUUUCAAUUCUAAAUCAGCAAUCACAUCUGCUCCCUGACCCAACGGCAUCCAUACCCUCCACCUUGGAUUGGCUUCCAGGCCUUUCUGGAUAAGAAACAGCCCUCUGCAUUGGCGUAUUGGAAAUGUUUCAUGAUGUUUAUUUCAGAGGAAUCUUAAUUUUCGUCUCUAGGCAAAUAGAGACAAAGGAGGCUGCACAGAACCCCUCCUUCUCAGCUUUGUCACCGGAGGAGACAAAUACACAGCCUGCCUCACAAAAACAUUCUGCGGGAAGUCCAGCAGUCUGUCAGCGCCAGUGUUUGCUCUCUGACAGAGCAAUUUGCGAGUGUGCCCGUCCACCAUGGGAUGCAUGAUGUGCUCUCAGCUCAUCAACAUGUGGAGCGUGUCUGUGAAGCAGCCAAGUCAAAGAGCCAUGGAACUGUCUCUGUUUCCUGAGGUGUCAUCUGAGGGCUACCAGCGGGUCUCCGGACUGCACUACAUGUCCUCCUUCUCGGAUGCGGAGGACUGCUGUGAUGAUGUCACUCCGAACAGCUCAUCUUCCCCAGAUUGAUUUGAAGCUGAACAGUGAUACACAGACAAAAAAUGAAGCACUGGACCAUGGAAUAUUGAUAGUUAUGUUUCCAUUUGUGUGCAUGUCAUUUCCAAAUUUUAUGCAACUUUGCAUAUGGAAAUGAAAACUGUAUGCAUAAGCACAGGCUCUAUUAAUCAGUCAGCUUCGCAGAAAAUAAAUAGCUUAAACUGUCCAAACUGUUUCCAUUUAUUGCAAAUGGAAGCAGUUGUAAUUUGAACAAAACCUUCCCGGCACCAUGGUUCCAUUAAAAAGUCAACGGUUCACAUCGGUAGUCAUUGCUGACCACAUCAUACGGUGCUUGCUCAAAGUGCUUGGAACCACUACAUUUGAGAAACCAAAUAUUGGAAAACACCUGUCAAUUGGCGUUUUGUAUGCAAAUUAAAUAAAUUAUCUUCCGCAAAUCAAGAUCAACUGCCUAUGAGAUUCUAAAAAAAAAAAAUCUAGCAAGAGUUUGAUCUCCACUGUUCCAGAUCUUGCUCUCGUAAAAGGUAUCCUUACCUAGGUCCAUGUUGCAUCAUGUUGUGCUGAAUUAUUUCAUUAAAUUGAUAUGGAGAAAUAUGGAUACAUUUUUGUGCUUGACGGCUAGGCUUUAUAGCACUCUAAAUUCUAUGCCACUUGUAUAGUACUUUCAUUAAUAAACUAAUAUAUGUCUUUCUUCAAGGGAAAUGGGUUCAACAAGGGUUCUUAAAAACAGAAGAUAUUAUUGCCAUCUCCAAAGCUGCAGACAGAUAAUUAUGAUCAUUACAUAUUGUUUUAUUGCAUUUCUGAGAAUCACCAUAAAGGGCUAUUGGUGUCACCACAUUCUUUCCACUGACAUCAUAAGGACAACAAUUGCUUGGAAUCAUCCGAUUACUUUCGGAGUUAAAGUGUACCUGAGGCCAUAAUGAAACUUUAGCACGUAUGCCUAAUUUGAAUGAGAAGCGUUUGAACCCCAAGGGCAAUUGGUUUGACAGCAGUGGUCCCUACAAGAUGAAUUGGUGAUACUGUAAGUCUAGACGAAUACUUUACCUUGGUUUUGUUUCUGAAGUGUCAUAGGGAAACAGUAAAAUCACACAAUAUGUUCGUAUUGCAAUCAAUGUCAUGGCAUUUUCAUUAUCUAUAGGUUUGUUGCGUUCGAUUUAUUUAUGAAUGAAAUCAUUUUUCAUCCACUGGCCUUGUCUGUAUCCAAAAGGACACUGUCUUUCAUUGUUUGCUCUUAAUUCUUCUUAAUAAAUUAAUACUCACAGA